UGAUUUGCGUCGGCCUCCGAACCCUUUCCCCGCUUGCCCCGACACCCUCCAAUCGUCCCCUCCAGUCACCCACCGACGCCCUCAAGGCUCAAGCCGCCCACUGAUCUCCCUCUUCUCUCCUCUAGCGGCCUGGCCAGUGCUCCACGACGUCGUGGUGGUCGAUCGCCGCUGCGGUUGCGGCCUCGGCCUGCUUGGAGGACAAGAACCAGGAGCGUUUCUUGCGGGCGGGUCUCGUGGAUGGGGGCCGGCCAGUGUUGUGACCGAUGAAGCUUUGUACGAGAUGGUGUUGCGGCAGAUCGCGCCGGCGGAGGAUCUUCAGUGGAGGGGGAAGUGGGGAGGCCGCGGCAAGGAGGCAUCUGUGGCGGGAGACUGCUGCAACGGGGUACGUCACGAGUGCGCUGCAGGCUGGACGUUCUAGCUAGGUGAUUGUGGCUGGCAACAAGAUGACGCAACCGGCCGUGCCCCUCCGUCGUCCUGCUGACUCAUCUCCUCCCCACUCAUUUCUCAACAUUGCUGCAACCUCUGCUGGUUUCAUGAAUGCACACACAUCGAUGAGCACACGGCCCUGGCGAGCGAGCAAAUGUUAUCCGUGGCCGCCCCCUGCCCAUGGCCGCAAUUGGGUGGUUAUUGUGAAAAUGAGCUAUCUUUGAAUGAAGUAAUGGUUGCAGUGGAGCCUUAUGGGUAAAUGCAGGAGGUAGGAUCCAGGAUGAUGACCUCAACAUAACGCAUCCUGGUGAUAGCCCCUGUCACCUACCUCAUCCACCUAUGCUUCACUUUUCAGGACAUUUUGAGGGGAUCUUCCGCUUGUGAGUGAAGGCAACUACAAACAAAGAAUUGAUCUAGCUUGAGAAAGGAAACAAAGAUCCUCUCUCAAUAUAGGGAUGCAUUCAAGGAAUAGUAUAGUUUGUAUACUAUGUACUUAUCUAGGAUAUGCAGUAUUGCCAAGCCUUAUCUCUAGGAUGCUGCGAUGCUGUUACUGGUGUUGGUUUCAGAAUCUUGGAUGGGCUGACCAAUCUUGCUGCUGAUGCAUGUACUGGAUGCUGUUGCCACACAUGCUGCUGUUGCUGCCUUGAUGCUCUUAAUGUUUUCCCCCAAAUCAUAAAUCACUAUUCUAUUGAAGGAAGAAACUCCAUUUGGUGCCAAGGAUUAAAUCAUACAUAGAUUUAGUUGGUGGCAAUAAACUAACAGCAAGAGCAGCUUAACAUGUAACAGAAAGUGGUGGUCUAACUCAUCUCACUAGAAUAGCCAUUUACUUCAAAAUUGUAAAUCAAUCUUGUACGCUGCAACUUUAAAGUUCAAAAUUUGAGGUCAGGCUGUGUUCUAUCAUAGGCCAUAGGUUUGCCUUUGACUUUUAACAUCCGCCUGCUGAUUGCAUUUUGCGGAAUUGAAAUAUAAAUUUGGGGUUUUAU